CGUAGGGUGCGAGCGUUGUCCGGAUUUAUUGGGCGUAAAGGGCUCGUAGGUGGCUGAUCGCGUCGGAAGUGUAAUCUUGGGGCUUAACCCUGAGCGUGCUUUCGAUACGGGUUGACUUGAGGAAGGUAGGGGAGAAUGGAAUUCCUGGUGGAGCGGUGGAAUGCGCAGAUAUCAGGAGGAACACCAGUGGCGAAGGCGGUUCUCUGGGCCUUUCCUGACGCUGAGGAGCGAAAGCGUGGGGAGCGAACAGGCUU
rnacentral:rRNA from 1 species